ensembl:lncRNA
AGUGAGGAGAGCUGGGCGUGGAGCGGCGGAAGUCUGGAGAAUAUGCCCCACAGGCCUGGCCGCUGAAUACACAGACACUUUUUCUAAACCACCCCUAGCUAUCUCAGGAAAAAUGGUUUAGCUUUUUAGGAUAAAGAUGCCUAAGGACAAAGAUAGCCCUCUCUUGAUGAUUUUCGUUUGAAAAGGAAGUUCACAUAAUCAACUAAUUUGGCUUGCCUGUGAAAAAAUGAUGGUCCUAGAAAGAAGAUGGAUCUUUUUUUUUUUUUAAAUCUUCUCAGUAUAAGUUGGAGAAAGCUUGGUAUCAGAGCAGAGGAGGGAGACAGAUGCUUCAGACAUUUGAAACAACAUCAAGGUAUAUAC